UUGCAAUAAGCCAACUGGUAUUUAUAGGUAUUAACUGGUAUUCACUUGGAGAGAAGCACCUUGUGACUCCUCCAUGCACUUUCUCCAUGAUUACACAUCCUUUAUGAGUGCCUGGCAACCCAGAAUUGUGACAUCCCAGCAUCUGCAGUUUCAUAGAACACAGCCCUUUAAACAGAGGUUCAGAGUGAGACCUGUCGUGUUCUCCUGGACCACAGAGGGCUGUGACCACAUCCUCAUCUGAGUGGACACCUCUCAAAGCCAGUGAAUUCUCAAGUUUGCUGUACUUAGAGCACCAGUGAACAGUGAUGGAUCCUGGGCUGACCCCUCUCACUCUCCCAAGCUCAACUCUUCACCAAUUGAGAAGAUGUAAAAGCAUCAAAUGUGAGUCCUUGCCUGACUUUGAGAGGUAUUACUCACAGAAUUCACAAAGACUGAAUCUGUCAUCAUUUGCCCAUACUUUGUCAGAAUCUGCAAAAUCUUUCUCCUAGCCCAGCCCAAGCUGUUUUCUGAAAUAUGAUGCUUCCCAACCUCCCAGUGUAGGCUCCAUCUCAAGAAUCUGAAAUUCCUCUUGUUCAUUAGCCUUCAAAUGGACAAAUGGCUCACUUGGUGAAAAAGCUCCACAGAUGUGGGGAAAAUUUAGCCAACAGAUUUUCACAGUAAUGAUUUCUCCUCAUCACAGAAACAAAGGCACAAUUAAGGGACGGGAAACAUCCGAAUUAUUUGCUGAUGAUGAAAAGAAGAAAAUUGGAUUCAUGUUUUCCAACUUUGAAUAUGGGAAAAUGAUGUUGCCCUCCUUUCCCUGGGCCACAAAUCUUGGCUGUUGUCAUUAGUCUUUUCAUUCCUUCUAUUGUUCUCUCAAGAAGCUGCAAAUUGUCUAUUUUCAUCAGUUACUGAAACCACAGCAGAGCUGUUGCACUCAGAAUAACAAAGGACUGGAACUGUGAAAAGUUCAGCUUUCUCAAGGGGUUGUAGAAUAGCACUGAAGUUUAGGGAAAUUUCAUCUGGAUUUACCAGUGUGGGAGACAAGGUAGUGAGGACCUCCUCCAGAAAAGAAAAUGGCAUAAAAGUCAGGAGAACUUUCUCAGGGACUUCCCCCUUAGAGUGUUCUUCAGAUUGUGAUUUGCAAAAAGAAAAUUUCAAGCUCUAGAUUUGUCAUUGGAUGAAGAGGUGAUAUGCCUGGGCCCAAAUUUUGUAUAUAAUCCAUUAAGAUCUAUUGAAGACGAGAGAGUGCAAAUCCACAAAUGGCAUUCCAACUCCUUUUCCCAAGGAUAUAAGGUUCUACUUCUAGCUUUCCAUGAAGAAAGCUAACCCAGAAAAUCCAAGGAUGCACUUUCUGAACACCAGCACCAAAAUACUCCCACUGUGGAGAUUCAUUCACCUCCCAUCUGGGAUCAAUAAACCAACUAGGACAAAACCACACCUGCAGAGAUCAGACAGGAACAUUUCUUUGAAAUGUUGCUCAGCUGCUCAGGACAAGAAAGGUUCAUCUGCCCUUAAAUAUCAAGGUCUUGACCAAAGUUUGACAUGGCAAAUAGCAAAUGCCAAGGUGCUGGUGAUUCUCACUCCCAGUAUUAUAAGUCCUUCCCACUGUUUGUGAGAUUCAUGGAUAUAGCCUCAUAUUUUCUGCAUAUCAGAGAGUUUCCAGCAAGUGGAAGAGAUCUUCAUUGGAAGAGACACAUCCGUGUCCUUAACCUCUGAUUCUGGGGCCAGCUAUCUACAUGGAUCCUACAAAUCCAAGAGGAACAAACUAUUUUAUCACUGGGCACCAUAAGGCUCUUCUGGAAAUCCUCUUAAUUUGUGUUUCCAGCUGCAUUUAUUAUCAAAACAGGGCCACUGAAAUUCAGCACCCAAAAAUUAGAGGAAACAUUUGCCUUUAAUUACGUGAAUCAGAUAUCUUCCCCUCCAGUCAGCAUGAUCCCAGAAACAGAAACAUUUUGAAAAUUGGCCCCUAAAAAUUUGAUUAACCCUCAGAAGAAACAGUAUUCAGCAUAAGAGAAGAGCCCAAGAAGGUAUUUUUAGUGUUAUCUUUAGAACAGGGUUGAGUAAGGUUCAAGGAUAAACUGGGAUAAACUUGCUGCAGUCACUGAACAGAAAAACAGAAACAACAUAUUGCUUGUCUUCUUCCUAAAUUAUCAUUAUGUUCUGGGCACGAAAUAAAGUAUGACUCUGAGGGUGAAUGGGAUCACAUAAUUAAAGACUACCUCAAAAUGUGAUCCCAGUCAUGUGUUUUUCUUUGUUUGCUAUAUUUGAGAUUUUUAUUAUUAUUUCACACAGUGGUAAAUAUCUAAAGACAACAGUACAAAAAUUAAAAUACCUCAAAAGUAAUCUGGGAGACUUUUGUCAGCAUUGAGGUGAGAAUCUUAUAGAAAAUGACUGAAGACAAAAACAAAUAGAAGGUGAAAUGAUAUGGAGGGAAAACCAUCAGGGGAUGUUCAUAACCCCCAUUAGGACAUCCUUCGUAACCCCCAUUAAUGGGGUUAGAAAAGCAGAGCAAUGAGGUGUUGUAGAGUCUAAGGGAAGCUGAGAGGACAAGGUGCCACAUAGUAAGGUCAAAGAGAAGACUGUUAUUUCAUGUGGUGGUAAAACUGAAUCUUCAUAUCACAAGGAACUCCAAGACCUUGCCAUCUGUCCUGGCUGGAGACCAGGAUGUGCAAAGUACUGACAAUAUGGACAAAGUUAGGGAGGGAGGAGUGUGACCUGGAAAUAUGAAACCCUAUCAGGAGAUAAAGGCAGAUCAAUUUUGCUUUCAUUUGGCCAAGAAAGAAGUGAAAGAAGUUCUGAUAAUGCACUAAUGUACAUUAGUCUCAAUAUAAUAUAUAAAUAGACUGUCGUGGUUUGAGAGGAAAUGAGUUUUUGGGAGGUGGUAGUGGUCAAACCAAUAAGUGCCCAGAUGUGGAUAUUGGCACCUGGUUUGACCAUUGAGGAUAUG